CGGCGUGCUUACACAUGCAAGUCGAACGAUCCCGGGGCUUCGGCCCCAAUGGGAGAGUGGCGAACGGGUGAGUAUCACGUGAGAAACCUGCCCCGGAGAUGGGGAUAGCCCAGGGAAACCUGGAUUAAUACCCAAUAUUCUGGCAGCACCGCAUGGUGCAGUCAGGAAAGGUUCCGGCGCUCCGGGAGGGUCUCGCGGCCUAUCAGCUUGUUGGUGAGGUAACGGCUCACCAAGGCAUCGACGGGUAGCUGGUCUGAGAGGACGAUCAGCCACACUGGGACUGAGACACGGCCCAGACUCCUACGGGAGGCAGCAGUGGGGAAUCUUGCGCAAUGGGCGAAAGCCUGACGCAGCAACGCCGCGUGGGGGAAGAAGGCUCUCGGGUCGUAAACCCCUUUCAGCAGGGACGAAAAUGACGGUACCUGCAGAAGAAGGACCGGCCAACUACGUGCCAGCAGCCGCGGUAAUACGUAGGGUCCGAGCGUUGUCCGGAUUUAUUGGGCGUAAAGAGCUCGUAGGCGGUUUGGUAAGUCGGGUGU
rnacentral:rRNA from 1 species